rnacentral:lncRNA from 7 species
UUUAGGCAUAUUUAAAUAUGGGGAGUAAUAACUCAUGAGUUAAAUUACUUCCACCUGUGUUCUACAAGCCCAAUGCCAUGAAGAACUGUCCAAGUUAAGAAGUUUAGCCUUGUUCCCAUAGAAUUCAAACAUGAAAAUUUUAAAUAAUCCAUUUUUUGAAGAUCUGGACCGUUGGUUCCUGAAGCUUUCUGGUGAUAGCCUCAGACUCUUCAGGUCUGUGGAGGAAAUUACAUCUACUAGAACUGGAGUUACUUCAGAGAAGUAGCUGUACAAGGGAUGACUGCUGGCACUUCAUUUCAAAUUGAUAAAAAAAAAAAAAAGGAAAUUCUUAACAGACUUCAAAGGUUGUUGAAGAGAUGACUGUCUUCUGGAAGGCCACCAGGAAAGAAAGUACUCUCUGUUUCAUACAGUGAAGAAGUCUUCCCUCAAAACAGACCCAUCCAACACCGAAACUAGUUUGUUAAGAAAAGCUUUAUUUGUAUCCUAAGGAAGAUUUGGUAUUGUAAAGAUUUCAAAUGGAUAUGUAUUUCUUCUCGAAACAGCAUGGAAACCUCUUAUACAUUGCUCCAUUGAACAAUACUUUGGUUGUAACUGCUAAAGGCUAGAAGAGAAAAAUCUUAUUUUAUUAGUAAUCAUUGCCACCUAAAACAAGUCUACUAGUUUAUGGUAAAAAUCAGUUGGGAAAAAAAAAAAAAGGAAUUUGAAUACUUAGGUCUCGUUAUGUCAGCCCAAGUUCAAGCCUGUAGUAAUCUAAAAAUAAACCUGUUUUUUGGGCAUGCUGAAUAGUGUUACUGGCAGUAAACUGAGGAGCCAAAACCAACGUGGUGAAUUAGUUCAUGUCAAGGGCCAAAAAGAUUUAUUUCCUUGUGUGCUGUUAAGCUUAUCUUCAGCUAUCAUGCUCAGAUAUCUGUUCCUAACCUGUAAGUUACUGAGUCAGUUGCCAGAAAGUCAGAGUUAAAUUUUUGUAUCUAAGCCUACCUUAUGCUUUCAUAAAACAUAAUAUAUAGCCUGCAGAAAAAUAUUUUGUGGUGUACAUACAUACCCCUUUCUAAUGCAAUUACAUUACACAUAAAUACAUACCCCUUAGACAAAGGUAAUACACCAUGAUAUUCAAGACACAAUGUGUUCUGUGAGUCCCAUUUCAUAAGAUCUGAACUUUAAUCAUACAAGGCCUUCUUAUCCUACAGCUGUAAUGGAAGUCCAGGGACAAGCCUGGGUGCUACAUCAAACAAAGAUGAGCUAACUCAAAAUACAGGAGAAAAGCACAUGCCAGAAUGCUUUUUCCUGGCUGGAAAAUAGUCAUAAGGAUU